UUUAAAAACUCCAGUAAAGUUGAACCAAUCAUUUGGGCGGCUGUUCCCCGGGCAGAGCUCUCGGCAUGCUAAAAAGAGGUCAAGAUGAAACCUGCAGAAUGGAUUCUGAGACUCACAACUACCCUGGGGAAAUCAGCGGCUUUCAGAGUCGCCCUGCCUGGAGUCCCGUCCUCGCAGCUGGCUGUGACAAGACCUCGUACCCAACCACGAGGCAGCAAAGAGACUGGGGAAGAGACAGCUGACUUCCACUGCAGUACACCAACUAAAAAAACAGCACCAUCCACCCCGAGCUGAUCCGAGCCAUCAGUCAAUCUGUAGAUGUGCACUGUGCUCUGAACCCAUCAGACUCCAAAUGCUGCAUCCUAAAUAACUCUCAACAGCUGUUUUUAUGAUAAAGGUAGUUCAUGCAAGAAUAAAAAGUCAUCAUUUA